CCUACGGGAGGCAGCAGUGAGGACUAUUGGUCAAUGGACGAGAGUCUGAACCAGCCAAGUAGCGUGAAGGAUGACUGCCCUAUGGGUUGUAAACUUCUUUUAUAUGGGAAUAAAAUGUUCCACGUGUGGGAUUUUGUAUGUACCAUAUGAAUAAGGAUCGGCUAACUCCGUGCCAGCAGCCGCGGUAAUACGGAGGAUCCGAGCGUUAUCCGGAUUUAUUGGGUUUAAAGGGAGCGUAGGUGGAUUGUUAAGUCAGUUGUGAAAGUUUGCGGCUCAACCGUAAAAUUGCAGUUGAAACUGGCAGUCUUGAGUACAGUAGAGGUGGGCGGAAUUCGUGGUGUAGCGGUGAAAUGCUUAGAUAUCACGAAGAACUCCGAUUGCGAAGGCAGUUCACUGGACUGCAACUGACACUGAGGCUCGAAAGUGUGGGUAUCAAACAGGAUUAGAUACCCCAGUAGUC
rnacentral:rRNA from 1 species